rnacentral:tRNA from 1 species
GGAGAGAUGGCAGAGUGGUCGAAUGCGCACGCUUGGAAAGCGUGUAAGGUGUCAAAGCCUUCGAGGGUUCGAAUCCCUCUCUCUCCGCCA